AUUGAACGCUGGCGGCAGGCCUAACACAUGCAAGUCGAGCGGAUGAAGGGAGCUUGCUCCUGGAUUCAGCGGCGGACGGGUGAGUAAUGCCUAGGAAUCUGCCUGGUAGUGGGGGAUAACGUCCGGAAACGGGCGCUAAUACCGCAUACGUCCUGAGGGAGAAAGUGGGGGAUCUUCGGACCUCACGCUAUCAGAUGAGCCUAGGUCGGAUUAGCUAGUUGGUGGGGUAAAGGCCUACCAAGGCGACGAUCCGUAACUGGUCUGAGAGGAUGAUCAGUCACACUGGAACUGAGACACGGUCCAGACUCCUACGGGAGGCAGCGGUGGGAAAUAUUGGACAAUGGGCGAAAGCCUGAUCCAGCCAUGCCGCGUGUGUGAAGAAGGUCUUCGGAUUGUAAAGCACUUUAAGUUGGGAGGAAGGGCAGUAAGUUAAUACCUUGCUGUUUUGACGUUACCAACAGAAUAAGCACCGGCUAACUUCGUG
rnacentral:rRNA from 1 species